GACAAGCAGAGAACGCGCCUCACGCGCGGUAGCAUAGGGAACCCUAGGUUUUUCUAGGUUUCUCGCAGGCGGUGGCGGAGCUUCAGGGCAAAGCGGAUGUGCUUUUCCCGUUGAGGUGGUGGUCGGCUUUGAAGGCUGAGGCUGGUUGUUGUGGCUUCUAGUUUUGAGCAGUUCAAGGUUUUCUCUCAAAGAGACUUGUGGGCUUGACGAUCUCUAUUUCUUCUCCUGAUCAUCGCUGCUUGUAGGUGGCGAGGGUUGUGUACGGUGUCGCUCUAGAGGUGCAGUAGGAAAGGCGGAGGAACGGCGAGUCUUGGCUUCUUCAGGGGCGGCGUUCUUCAGGCUUGAUCUUAAGCACCUUGGGUUGGGCAGAGGCGUCAGAUUUUGAGGGCUGGUGUAGGUCGGAGUUCACCGUCUUCUUGGAUGAUGUGGUUCAAGCGGGGGAGACCGCCGUACUAAGUUGUCGGCGGCGGUAGCAUUGAUGGUCCAGUAUGGAGGCCGAUAUGCUUCUCUGGUGCAAACUGGCUGAGAAAGAGUGGGCAGAUCCUCUUGGGCCUGGGCCAUUUUCCCUCUUCUUUCUAAUUCAGUUUUGUUUUUUGGGCUAGAGACUCGGGUCCAAGUUUCUGUGAGCGGACUUAUAUCGUAACCUUAGUCCAAGGUUGUUCACUGUCUAACGGGUGUAGGGGUACACACCAUUAAAGUCUCUAGGCCCCGAGCUAAUCAUGACAGAUGCUGUGGAUUCAGGUUAUGACGAAUAAAGUAGUUUUUUGGUUGUUCCUUUUUCUGGACAUAUUUUGGUUUAGUUUUGAUUGUUCACCUUUUGGACUCUAUUUUUCGAGUAGGAUUUUAUUUUUUUGUAAUCCCUUAGGGUUUUUAUUUGACUAUUUGUAUAGUCAAUCGAGCAGUGGAUGUAAAUAGGGUCACCUGUGACCUUCAAGCUUGAUAUUGUAAAAUUGUAUAUUAGAAUAGACUAUUCUGCCCACGAGAGUAAUAUCCCUUUCCCUCAAGAAAAAAAAAAAAAUUUAGUCAUACGGUCUUAGUAUUAGGAAUGGCAAUGGGGCAGGUUGGGAAUGAAUAUCGCAAUACCAUCCCCAUCCCCGGAGUUAUUAUCCACCCCCCAUCUUCUCCUCAUGAAUCCUCAAUAAAAAUAAAACGGGGAUUCCCCGUCCCCGUCCCCAUUGGAGACUAGACAUCCAUCCCCGCCCCAAUCCCCAUUAAGAGUUCAAUAAAUAAAAUAAUUUUUUUUAUUGCAUUGUUUUUUUUAAAUCAAAAUCUGAAGGCAAUAAAAUUCAAAUAUAGAUAUAGAUGUAGAAAUUCAAGAGGCAAGAAGAGAACGGCAGGGUUGUGAUUUUGUUUAUGACGGUAGGGUUUAUAUGGUUGGUUUCAUAUUGUAAAAUUGUAGUCAUUAAAAUAAGAAAUUAAAUGUGUAUAUUUAUGAUCUAUAUUAAAAAGUUAUAUCAUUAUAAAUAGCAAAUUUCAUAGAAAUCUAAUUUCCAACAUUUUAU
rnacentral:lncRNA from 1 species